rnacentral:rRNA from 2 species
UGGGGAAUAUUGGACAAUGGGCGCAAGCCUGAUCCAGCCAUGCCGCGUGAGUGAUGAAGGCCCUAGGGUUGUAAAGCUCUUUCACCGGUGAAGAUAAUGACGGUAACCGGAGAAGAAGCCCCGGCUAACUUCGUGCCAGCAGCCGCGGUAAUACGAAGGGGGCUAGCGUUGUUCGGAAUUACUGGGCGUAAAGCGCACGUAGGCGGACAUUUAAGUCAGGGGUGAAAUCCCGGGGCUCAACCCCGGAACUGCCUUUGAUACUGGGUGUCUAGAGUAUGGAAGAGGUGAGUGGAAUUCCGAGUGUAGAGGUGAAAUUCGUAGAUAUUCGGAGGAACACCAGUGGCGAAGGCGGCUCACUGGUCCAUUACUGACGCUGAGGUGCGAAAGCGUGGGGAGCAAACAGG